UACGGAGGGGGCGAGCGUUGUCCGAAUUUAUUGGGCGUAAAGCGCGUGUAGGCGGAUGGACAAGCCUGAGGUGAAAGGUUGGGGCUCAACCCCAUACAGUGCCUUGGGGACUGUUCGUCUGGAGGCCGGCAGAGGAGAGUGGAAUUCCUGGUGUAGCGGUGGAAUGCGUAGAGAUCAGGAAGAACACCCAUGGCGAAGGCAGCUCUCUGGGUCCCUACCGACGCUGGGGUGCGAAAGCAUGGGGAGCGAACAGG
rnacentral:rRNA from 1 species